UAACCUCUAUGUGUUGUGUUGUGCGACUAUGAAGGUAUGAGUGUUGUUAUGUGUUUUUAGUAUGUUUUACAGUGUUAAUGUGUUUUUAUUUGUGAUAUAGUUAGUGUGUUUUGAAUUCGAAGUAUUAUGAACAUUUCUGGUACUUUUAUGGAGUUGCUGAUCUACGCGGGAAGUACCUGGCAGAAAGAUGACACGCGAAGAAUAUUUAGAAAAGAAGCGUCUAGCGGCGAGAAUACGAUAUCAAAGAAUAAAAAAUGAUCCACUAAUGUACCAAAUGCAAAAAGAAAAAGAUAAAUUAAAAUAUUUAAGAAAGAAAGAAAUCGGAGGUAUAAAAACGGUGGCCGAAAUGACACCCGAAGAGCGAGCAAUUGCACGAAGAAAAUGGAGGAAAAAGGCAAAAGAACGUAGGGAACGACGUGCCUACGAAUAAGGAAAGGAUUACAUCACGAAAAUUUAAGAAGCUUAUGCUUCAUCGUAGCUGUACUAACGCUGUUUAAAAUUAAUGGAGGUGAUGAGUGAUUUUUACACGCAGCGAGAAAAUGAAUUGUCUGUUGCGAUUUGGGAACCCAAUUACGAUCACAAUCGUAACUGCGGGAACCUUUAAUUCCAGUAAAGUGGAUAAAUUUCUAUUAGAUAUUAUGGAAUGACUUGAAUAUUUAUUUGAAAGUGCGCUGAACCUUG